GCUGGUGUGACAGUGGUCUGAGUACUAGAUUGGGACUCUGGAGACCAGGGUUCGAUUCCCAGCUCAGCC